rnacentral:rRNA from 1 species
UUAGAGUUUGAUCCUGGCUCAGGACGAACGCUGGCGGCAUGCCUAAUACAUGCAAGUCGAACGCUGAAGCACUCUGCUUGCAGAGUGCGGAUGAGUGGCGAACGGGUGAGUAACACGUGGGAAAUCUGCCUAGGAGUGGGGGAUAACAUUCGGAAACGGAUGCUAAUACCGCAUAUCUUUUUGAACCGCAUGGUUCUUAAACGAAAGACGGCUUCGGCUGUCGCUCUUAGAUGAUCCCGCGGCGUAUUAGUUAGUUGGUGGGGUAAAGGCCUACCAAGACCAUGAUACGUAGCCGACCUGAGAGGGUGAUCGGCCACACUGGGACUGAGACACAGCCCAGACUCCUACGGGAGGCAGCAGUAGGGAAUCUUCCACAAUGGGUGAAAACCUGAUGGAGCAAUGCCGCGUGAAUGAAGAAGGUCUUCGGAUCGUAAAGUUCUGUUAUUAGAGAAGAACAAGUCAAGGAGUAACUGUCUCGAUUUUGACGGUAACUAACCAGAAAGUCACGGCUAACUACGUGCCAGCAGCCGCGGUAAUACGUAGGUGACAAGCGUUGUCCGGAAUUAUUGGGCGUAAAGGGAGCGCAGGCGGUUGGAAUAGUCUGAUGUGAAAGCCCACGGCUUAACCGUGGAAGGUCAUUGGAGACUGUCCAACUUGAAUGCAGAAGAGGUAAGUGGAAUUCCAUGUGUAGCGGUGAAAUGCGUAGAUAUAUGGAGGAACACCAGUGGCGAAGGCGACUUACUGGUCUGUGAUUGACGCUGAGGCU